rnacentral:rRNA from 1 species
GGGGAAUCUUGCGCAAUGGGCGAAAGCCUGACGACGCAACGCCGCGUGGAGGAUGAAGAUCUUCGGGUCGUAAACUCCUGUCGAGCGGGAAGAAUAGUUUCGGCGUGAAUAUCGCCGGAGCCUGACGGUACCGCUAAAGGAAGCCCCGGCUAACUCCGUGCCAGCAGCCGCGGUAAUACGGGGGGGGCAAGCGUUGUUCGGAAUUACUGGGCGUAAAGGGCCAGUAGGCGGCCAACUAAGUCCGACGUGAAAUCCCCAGGCUCAACCUGGGAACUGCGUCGGAUACUGGAUGGCUUGAAUUCGGGAGAGGGAUGCAGAAUUCCAGGUGUAGCGGUGAAAUGCGUAGAUAUCUGGAGGAAUACCGGUGGCGAAGGCGGCAUCCUGGACCGAAAUUGACGCUGAUCGGCGAAAGCUAGGGGAGCAAA